GGUAGGAGGGUGACUCAGCUGUCGCUGCAUCCUUCCUGCGCCGGGCCACACCUGCCACAUCAGCUGGCACCUCCCGCCCAGAAAGAUUCUGGAUCGGCCCUGUCGAAGCCCGGUUCCGACUGCAGUUUAUUUUCCCAGGUCUCUCUAAAUCGAUAAACUGGACAGACUGGGCUCCAAUUUGUGAUCCUCCUGCCUCAGCCUCUCAGAGGGCUGGAGUUACAGGACAGCUCCUGGAAGUCGCCUGUGCUGCAAAGCCAGCUAUCUAAAGCCAGCUAUUUAAAGCAUGUCUGAGGAAUGCAGAGAGAGGGUGAAAGCCUACAAGCUGCUGGAAGAUGGAAACUCCCAGAACGUCCAGCUCCGCCUCUUUUUGGUUUAGUCAUCCUUCUUGCACACUGUUGCUUGGUUUCCACCGUUACUGGAAAAGGAGGAGCUGGAAGCAGGUCUCUUAGGGAAGGCGGAAGUAACUCCUUGUAGAGCACAGCUCAAGGAAAAGCAUAAGACCCUGUGAGAGAGAGGUCCAAGACCUGCCUGCCAAAGUGGAACAUUAAAAACAGAGGGAAGAGUCCUGCACAUCUGAAACGUACUGAAGACUUCACUGUACUCUAGAACAAUUCCUAAGAGCAUAAAGGCUCUGGUUAGAAUACCUCUUGUCCAUCAAAGUAGGAGAAUAUUUCAGGAACUUCAGAAACAAUGGUAUAUUGGAUGGAAAAAUGUGGCUUUAUAAAAGAUCCAGUGAAAACAGCCCAGUUAAUACAU